rnacentral:rRNA from 1 species
UACGAAGGGGGCUAGCGUUGUUCGGAAUUACUGGGCGUAAAGGGCGCGUAGGCGGUUUGUCAAGUCAGGCGUGAAAGCCCCGGGCUCAACCUGGGAACUGCGCUGGAGACUGGCAGGCUCGAGUGCGGGAGAGGAUGGUGGAAUUCCCGGUGUAGUGGUGAAAUGCGUAGAGAUCGGGAGGAACACCAGAGGCGAAGGCGGCCAGCUGGGCCGGACCUGACGCUGAGGCGCGAAGGCGUGGGGAGCGAACGGG